UUUUUGGUUUAGAGAAGCCCUUUCAAUAUUUCCUUUAACCUGGGUUUUGUGUUGCUGUAUUCUUUAAGUUUUUGUUUGUUGGGAAAAAUUUUUAUUUCCCCUUCUAUUUUAAAUGAUAUUCUUGCUGGAUAAAGUAUUCUAGGUUGCAUAUUUUUUCCUUUGAGCACUUUAAAUAUCUCUUGCCAUUCCCUCCUGGCCUGUAGUGUUUCUGUAGAGAAAUCAGCUGAUAUUCUUAUGGGGGUUCCCUUGUAGGUAACAUUCUGUUUUUCUCUUGCUGCCUUUAGGAUCCUCUCUUUAUCACUAACUUUUGCCAUUUUUAUUAUGAUGUGUCUUGGUGUGGGUCUGUUUGGGUUCAGUUUGUUUGGGGCCCUCUGUGCUUCUUGUAUCUUGAAUCCAGUAUCCUUUAGAUUUGGGAAGUUUCCAGCGAUAAUUUCUUCAAAUAUAUUUUCCAUUCCUUUAUCUUUUUCUACUCCUUCUGGAAUUCCUAUUAUGCGUAGAUUGGCCCGUUUUAUAUUAUCCCAUAGGUCUCUUAUAUUGCUUUCCAGUUUUUUGAUUCGGUUUUCUGUCUGUUGACCAGAUUGAGUGAUUUCCAUUAUUCUAUCUUCCAUAUCACUGAUUCGUUCUUCUGCAUUAUUCAUUCUGGUUUUUACUGCCCCUAGUUCAGUUUGCAUCUCUGCAAAUGAAUGUUCUAGUUUUUCUUGGCUCCUCCUUAUAUUUUCUAGCUCCUUUCUGAGGGUAUCUGCAUUGCUGUUCAUAUCUUCUCUUAAUUCCUUCAGUAUUUUCACUAUUUCUCUUUUGAACUCCAGGUCUGUCAGACUGCAGAGAUCAGUUUCAUUGUUGACUGUUUUAGGUGAGUUCUCCUGUUGGUUUGACUGGGGGUGGUUUCUCAGCUUCUUCAUCUUGCUUGUUGUCUUCUUUCUCCUGAGGGAGUUGUACUCUCUGUUAUCGGGUAGUGUUUGCCUUGUCACUGCCUGGAAUAUUUCCUGAGGGCUGUCGUUGUUGGUCAAUCUUUUUUUGAGGCAGUGUGGCUUUUCUGGAGUGUUGAUGGGACUAACAGUGUUUCUUUGAAGCAAAGGAGGACUUCCUGAGGGCAGACAGGACUGGGAGGUCCACCCCACGAUGGUAGCAGAUUUCACUUGGUUCUCAGCACCCCCUGGGGUCUUGGGCGGGUAGCAGGGCCCUUGGAGACUCAAGAGGUUCCUCCCCAGGGCAGCCCGACUCAGAAAGACCGUCUGAGAUCUUUUCCCGAUUCCGCCAGGCUUGUUGCAGCUUUUCUGGGCUGCAGGGGGUCCUGCCUGGAGCUGGCAGUCCUAUGCAGCUGGUCCACUAGGUCUCAGCACCCCUUGGGGUCUUGGGCGGGUAGCAGGGCCUUUGGAGACUCAAGAGGCUCCUCCCCAGAACAGCCCGACUCAGAAAGACCGUCUGAGAUCUUUUCCCAGGAGGCUGCUGUUGCAGCUUUUCUGGGCUGCAGGGGUCCUGCCUGGAGCUGGCAGUCCUAUGCAGCUGGUCCACUAGGUCUCAGCACCCCUGGGGUCUUGGCGGGUAGCAGG
rnacentral:lncRNA from 9 species